AUUGGGCGUAAAGCGAGCGCAGGCGGUUUUUUAAGUCUGAUGUGAAAGCCCUCGGCUUAACCGAGGAAGUGCAUCGGAAACUGGGAAACUUGAGUGCAGAAGAGGACAGUGGAACUCCAUGUGUAGCGGUGAAAUGCGUAGAUAUAUGGAAGAACACCAGUGGCGAAGGCGGCUGUCUGGUCUGUAACUGACGCUGAGGCUCGAAAGCAUGGGUAGCGAACAGGAUUAGAUACCCUGGUAGUCCAUGCCGUAAACGAUGAAUGGGUGUUGGAGGGUUUCCGCCCUUCAGUGCCGCAGCUAACGCAAGCAUUCCGCCUGGGGAGUACGACCGCUUUGACCUGAGAGAUCGGGUUUCCCCUUCGGGGGCAAAAUGACAGGUGGUGCAUGGUUGUCGGCUCGUGUCGUGAGAUGUUGGGUUAAGUCCCGCAACGAGCGCAACCCUUAUGACUAGUUGCCAGCAUUUAGUUGGGCACUCUAGUAAGACUGCCGGUGACAAACCGGAGGAAGGUGGGGAUGACGUCAAAUCAUCAUGCCCCUUAUGACCUGGGCUACACACGUGCAAUGGAUGGUACAACGAGUUGCGAGACCGCGAGGUCAAGCUAAUCUCAAGCCAUUCGCCCGUCACACC
rnacentral:rRNA from 1 species